UAGGGAAUCUUCCACAAUGGGCGCAAGCCUGAUCCAGCCAUGCCGCGUGCAGGAUGAAGGCCUUCGGGUUGUAAACUGCUUUUGUACGGAACGAAAAGCCUCGGGCUAAUAUCCUGGGGUCAUGACGGUACCGUAAGAAUAAGCACCGGCUAACUACGUGCCAGCAGCCGCGGUAAUACGUAGGGUGCAAGCGUUAAUCGGAAUUACUGGGCGUAAAGCGUGCGCAGGCGGUAAUGUAAGACAGAUGUGAAAUCCCCGGGCUCAACCUGGGAACUGCAUUUGUGACUGCAUUGCUGGAGUACGGCAGAGGGGGAUGGAAUUCCGCGUGUAGCAGUGAAAUGCGUAGAUAUGCGGAGGAACACCGAUGGCGAAGGCAAUCCCCUGGGCCUGUACUGACGCUCAUGCACGAAAGCGUGGGGAGCAAACAG
rnacentral:rRNA from 1 species